rnacentral:rRNA from 1 species
CACAGCACAUGUAAUAAAGAUACCUAAAACAAACAUAAGCUCCUAAAUACGUACCGAGCCACACUAUAAUAAUAGACGCACUAAUGCUAAAACUAGUAACAAGAAAACCUUUCUCCUAGCACACCCUUGACUCGGCAAUAGAAAACCUGCCGAAUAUUAACGGACCAAAAAAGGAAGAACACACUAUAAGCCAAGCUUGUAUUACAAACUGUCAAGCCAACACCGGAGUGCCCCAAGGAAAGAUUAAAAGUCGCAAAAGGAACUCAGCAAAAACUUGUCCCAACUGUUUACCAAAAACAUAGCCUUUAGCAAAACAAGUAUUAAAGGUCCCGCCUGCCCAGUGAUCUAUUAAACGGCCGCGGUAUUCUAACCGUGCAAAGGUAGCGUAAUCAUU